rnacentral:rRNA from 1 species
UACGUAGGGGGCAAGCGUUGUCCGGAUUUAUUGGGCGUAAAGAGCGUGUAGGCGGCUUGGUAGGUCCGCUGUGAAAACUCGAGGCUCAACCUCGAGAUGUCGGCGGAAACCACUUGGCUAGAGUCCGGAAGAGGAGAGUGGAAUUCCCGGUGUAGCGGUGAAAUGCGCAGAUAUCGGGAGGAACACCAAUUGCGAAGGCAGCUCGCUGGGACGUAACUGACGCUGAGACGCGAAAGCGUGGGGAGCAAACAGG